UACAGAGGGUGCGAGCGUUGUCCGGAAUCACUGGGCGUAAAGGGCGCGUAGGUGGUUGGGGAAGCGUGUGGUGAAAGCCCGGGGCUCAACCCCGGGUCGGCCAUGCGAACUGCCCGACUGGAGCACGGUAGAGGCCAAUGGAAUUCCGGGUGUAGCGGUGGAAUGCGUAGAGAUCCGGAGGAAGACCGGUGGCGAAGGCGGCCUGCUGGGCAGUAACUGACGCUGAGGAGCGAAAGCGUGGGGAGCGAACAGG
rnacentral:rRNA from 1 species